CGCCAGCCCGCUCAGAAACUUAAAGGAAUUGACGGGGGCCCGCACAAGCGGUGGAGCAUGUGGUUUAAUUCGAUGAUACGCGAGGAACCUUACCUGGGCUCAAAUGUAUGUUGACGUAUUCUGAAAGGGAUACUUCUUCGGACAAUAUACAAGGUGCUGCAUGGUUGUCGUCAGCUCGUGCCGUGAGGUGUCGGGUUAAGUCCCAUAACGAGCGCAACCCCUAUCAUUAGUUGCCAUCAGGUCAAGCUGGGGACUCUAAUGAAACUGCCUACGCAAGUAGUGAGGAAGGUGGGGAUGACGUCAAAUCAUCAUGCCCCUUAUGAUCUGGGCUACACACGUGCUACAAUGGCCGGUACAACGGGCAGCGAAGGAGCGAUCCGGAGCGAAUCCUAAAAAGCCGGUCCCAGUUCGGAUUGCAGGCUGAAACUCGCCUACAUGAAGUUGGAGUUGCUAGUAAUCGCGAAUCAGAAUGUCGCGGUGAAUGCGUUCCCGGGUCUU
rnacentral:rRNA from 1 species